AAACAACUCGGAUUCACAUUAAAUUUUGUACACUAGUUUCAAAUAACACAAGGUACUUAUUCCAAGUUCUGGAACAACAAUCUAGACCUGGUAACAUUGAAUUCAACAUAUCGCGAUUCACAGUGCCCAAACAAUAAAUUUGCUCUUUGCUAACGCGACUCAAAGCCUGCGAUCGCAAUGCACACCCCUAUGGCCAAAAACUAGAAACUAAAAAUGGCCUAGAAAUGGUCUGAAACUACCCCGAAACUCAUCCGAGUCAAUGGGAACCCCGUCCGAACAUACCAACUUGUCCAAGUUUAGCCAAUUAGUGCUGAAACCUUCUAAAAAUAUUCAAAUACAAAUCCGGGUAUACGCCCAAGUCCACAAUCACCAUUCGGACCUAACGGAACCAUUAAAACUCCAAUCUGAGGUCAAAUACUAAAAAGUCAAACUUGGUCAACUCUUCGUAGUUGAGAAUUAUUCUUCCAAAUCAAUUCCGAGUCACCUGAAAACCAAAACCGGCGAUUCACAUAAGUCAUAAUAUAUCAUACGAAGAUACCCAAGACUUCAAUAGAUGAACAGAAUGCAAAUGCUCAAAAUGACUGAUCGGGUCGUUACAUAUUUCAUCCAUUUUCCUCCAAUACGAUGUGUGACAUCCUUGUCAAUAUCACCAUUACCUUGAUUAAUAGAUCUGAGUUGCUUGAAACUCCCCUUAUUAGGGAUGACUUGUGAAUCUAGCCUCACUUUGAUGUCUGUAUCAUGACACAUUGCUGAACUUGCAUUCCAAAUACUUAGUUUUAGUCCUGCUCAUCUUAACCCUUUUGACUCCAGAGUUUGUCUUCAAACCUCUACCCUCGCAUUAACACCACCUCGCAUCUCUUCAAUUAGUAAUAACAUGCACCAUGGAACCUCCUCUUGAGUGUGCUGUGUCAGAACAUCCAUCGCCGGGUCAAAUAAAAAUGGGCUAACCACGGAUCCCUGAUGCAAGCCCAUCCCGACAUGGAAGUGCUCCGAGUCUCCUCCCACCGUCCUAACCCGGGUCUUAACGCCAUCAUACAUAUCCUGGAUCACCCUAGUAUAAGCUACAGGCACACCUCUAACCUCUAAAAACUACCAAAUACUCUAGUGCAAAUUAUUUUAGGAGAAAAAUAUUUUUGAUAACUUUUAACUAACUGAAUAAUCAAGAAAAUCUCUUGAAUUCUUAUAAGAUCUCAGAUGAACCCGGUAGUGCGUUUUUAUUGGAAAGGAGAUUAGGAUUUGAGUUCAUCCUCAUAUAGGGUCGAAUUAUUUGGUUAAUGUGUUGAUAUAUAUUAUUUUCCAAUUCCUUGCAACAAAGGAAUAUUAUACACAUUAAAAGCUCGUGCAUUCAGUUAACAAGCAAUUCAAGCAAGUUCUCAUGAAUGAGUUUGAUUCCAUGCUCAUCCAAAAGAAUAUGAAGGCUGGAGUAGUUAGUCCGUUGCAGUCUUAUGUAUAACUUUAGUCCAGCCCUAGUUCAGAUAUAUUAAGGUAUUGAGUUAUAAUUAUACUUUUUAAGUUAGAGUUGACUUGAAAGUAUGAAAAAUUCGCGUGAGCCGUUAAGAAAAUAGUUAGAGUUAAGUUUGAAUAUUGCAGGAGUUGUAAUUUAAAUAAUUUGACUCCUUUUGUUUUAGUGAAAUUGGGGUUAAAUACUACCGGAUAGGUCAAGCUUUUGCACCUUUUGAGCCAGGUGAUUUUUCACCUAAAAAUAUCUAUGUUCUUUAAUUUUCCACACUUGAUUUUAUCACAUUUCACGACAUAAGCUAAAGAACCAGGUUUCUUUAGACAAAUUCUAGGGGCACUCAAUUUAACAAAUUCAAAAUGCAAUUGACUUUUCUUAAUCCACAUAAUCAUUUGUAUUUCGGGAAAUACACUAUUUUGGCAUUCGAAUAAAAUAAAACGCUCAUAUACAGUGUUUCAUAGGGCUGGAUCGUCAGGCAAGAUGUUUUACUUAAGGCACAAGCCCUGAAACAUGAUGCAUAAGGUGCAUUGAUCUUUAAAUUUUUUAACGUUAUAAUUUAAUAAAAUAUCACAAUAACAUAAAAAUUUUAAAAUUACAUUAAAAGUUUACAAAAGUAAAAAAAUUAAAGGAACUCAUAGAAAAUAAAAUAUCUAGCUUUGGGUGGUUAUGGCGAGGUGCAUGGCGGCUUCGGCUUUGGGGAUAGGAACGGAGGAGGAACUUCGCUUUUGGAUUUUGCUAAAGCAUUUGAGCUGGUGAUUGCGAACUCUAGCUUUCCGAAGAGAGAGGAGCAUUUGGUUAUGUUCCAAAGUACGGCGGUGAAGAGGCUCUUGGUGAUGGUUGUGUAAGGAUUGCAAGGUGAUUCCGGGGGAGAUCCUUGCGACGCAGCAUAGGCUCUUGGUGAUGGACGUUGUUAUCAUGAUAAAGAGGAAGAAGAGGUUUGUUCGAGGACGACCGAGGAUCAGGUGGGGAGCCUUGACAAAGGAUAAAGCUCAAGAGUUGGAGGGGAGUUUAUCGACUAUGGGAGCCUGAAGGAGUAGUGGGGACGCGACCGCUAUGUGGAAGACGACGGCGAACUGUAUAAGGGAUGUGGCAAGAGAGGUAUUAGGGGUCUCGAGAAGUUACUCUGGCGGGCACAAAUGUGACUUGUGGUGGAAUGAAGUGGUCCAAGGUAAAGUGGAAGCGAAAAAGGUUGCGUACCUGAAAUUAGUAGGGAGAACAUGCGAGGAGGAGAGGAGAGAAAACAGAGAGAGGUAUAAGGUAGCUAGGAAGGAGGCAAAGUUGGCAGUCACAGAGGCUAAGACUGUAGCGUUUGGUUGUCUGUACGAGGAAUUAGGGGACAAAGGCGAGGAUAAUAAGUUAUUUCGACUGGCCAAGGCGAGAGAGAAGAAUGCUCGGGAUCUGGACCAAGUGAGGUGCAUCAGAGAUGAGGAAGGUAGAGUAUUGAUAGGAGAGGCACAAAUUAAGCGGAGAUGGAAGACUUACUUUCAUAAACUUCUGAAUGAAGAAGAGGACAGGGAUAUUGUGCUAGGUGAAUUGGGGCAUUCAGAGAGUCACCGAAAGUUUGGUUACUGUAGACGCAUCAAGGUUGAGGAGGUAGUGGGGGUUAUAUGUAAGAUGAGUAGGGGCAGAGUAACCGUGCCAGAUGAAAUUACGGUAGAACUUUGGAAGUGUGUGGGUAGAUCAGGCUUGGAGUGGAUGACUAGGCUGUUUAAUAUUAUUUUCAGGGCGAAGAGGAUGUCGGAUGAGUGGAGAUGGAGUAUGGUGGUACCAUUGUACAAGAACAAAGGUGAUAUCCAGAGUUGCAAUAACUAGAGGGGUAUCAAGUUACUAAGUCAUACUAUGAAUAUUUAGGAGAGGGUAGUGAAAGUGAGGGUGAGAAGGACUGUGUCUAUAUCCGAUAACCAGUUCGAGUUCAUGCCCGUCCAUUCAACUAUGAAAGCUAUCCACCUUAUUAGGAGGUUGGUGGAACAAUACAGGGAUAUGAAGAAGAAUUUGCACAUGGUGUUUAUUGACCUGGAGAAAGCGUAUGACAAGGUGACUAGGGAGGUCCUUUGGAGAUUCCUGGAGUCAAAAGGUGUGCCGGUCUUUUACAUCAGGGCGAUUAAGGACAUGCAUUAUGGAGCUAAGACUCGGGUUAGGACAGUGUGAGGCGAUUCUUAGCAUUUUUCGGUUGUUAUGGGAUUGCACCAAGUAUCUGCACUCAACCCGUUCUUAUUUUCCCUAGUGAUGGAUGCACUGCCACACCAUAUAGGGGUGGCGUGGAUAAAAUAGAGGUUAACAUCUGGAGUUUUGUCGGGCAAGAAAGUGUCACUGAUGCUCAAAGGUAAGUUUUAUAGAGCGGUGGUUAGACCGGCCAUGUUGUAUGGGGUAGAGUGUUAGCCAGUUAAGAACUCACAUAUCCAGAAGGUGGAAGUAGCAGAAAUAAGGAUGUUGAGGUGGAUGUGCGGGCACACUAGGAUAGAUAAGAUUAAGAAUGAAGAUAUUCAGUAGAAGGUAGGCAUGACUCUUAUGGAUGAUAAGAUGCAAGAAGCAAGGCUCAGAUUGUUCGGGAACGUGCGGAGGAGAAGCCUAGAAGCUCCGGUAAGGAUGUGUGAGAAAUUGGCUUUUGGGUGGUACGAGAAUAGGUAGACGGCGACCUAAGAAGUAUUAGGGAGAGGUGAUCAGGCAGGACAUGGCGUGGCUUCAAAUUUUUAAGGACAUGGCCCUUGAUAGGAAGGUGUGCAGGUCGAGCAUUAGGGUUGUAGGUUAGGAGGUAGUUGAGCAUUUUUUUACAUCGUUCCGGGUGAGAGACUAGUCUGAUAGGGUUUUGUCUUAGACUGCUAGUGGUUAAUAUUGUGUUCAUAUUAUUCUUUCGUUUUUCAUAGUAUCGAGCCUUACCUACUUGUUAUUGUUAUUGCUUUUCAUCUGUUUUCUGGUCCUUAUGUUGCUGUUAUUAUUUCUGUGAUUUCUGUUGAUGGUACUGAUUAAUUGUCUUUGUUCGUCUUUCUGAGCCGAGGGUCUUUUGAAAAUAAUCUCUCUACUCCCUCAGGGUAGGGGUAAGGUGUGUGUACUCACUAGCCUCCCCAGACCCCACUUGUUGGAAUUACACUCGGUUGUUGUUGUUGUUGUUGUUGUUGUUGUUUCUUCUUACAAGUAUAAACAAUGCAAUGGAAUUAAAGUUAUUCCAAGAUACGAAAUCAACUACAAUAUCUUAUUUUCAAAUAAUUAAAAGAAAUCAUUUUUUUUAAAUGAUAUAAAACUAUCUAUUUUGCCUCAAAAAGUAAAUAAUCAAUAAACUUUAAGUACUAUAAUUUAAAAUAUUAUUUCAUGAUAAAUAAAUACAAAAUUUCUUUCAAAUAUCAAAGUAAUAAAAGUCUAAUAAUAGACGUAUAAACUAAGACAUUAAAAAUAAUAACAAGUGAAUAUAUAAAUUUCAUUUAUCUAUUUUCAAAAGAAAUACUCAAAUAAUAUGUGGCAUCAUGAUGUUCUCAAAUAUUAAAUUUCCAAAUACAUUGGCUGAUUAUUUGAGUUAAUCUCAAUCAUCAUAUAUGAGAAUGCAGUGUUAAUUAAAAAAUUCGACACAUGAUUUGCGUAAGAACGGUUAGGUGAGCCCCAAGCGUUGAGAUUUAGGCAUAUUUAGAAGGCACAAUCGGGCGCUUGGGGCAUAAGACUCACAAGUGAGACUUAGGGAGUUUUGUAGUGUCCCACUCAAGGGCGAGCCCUGAGCGAGUCGUAAAAAAGCCUUUUAAAACACUACUCAUAUAUGAGAAUUAUUUUAAACCCCGAGUUAUACUCAUAUAUUUAAGAUAAAAUUAUUUUACUAGCGCUUAUUUCGUAAUUUUAGUUGUUUAUUUUAACCUUGACUUCUUGACCUCAAACAAUAAUCGCUUUUCUAAAAAUUAAGCAACAACAAGCAAAAGGGAAUGCCAAAGGAAAAAUAAAGCAUUAGAAAAGGAGGACAUUAAGGAUCACACCACACAUAUUUGUAUUCACCUCCAAAGAAAUGGUAUUUCCCCCAUUUCACCCUACUCACCAUCACCACCGUAAUUGUUUUUCCAUUUUUGCUUUUCUUCCUCGGUGAUUUAGUACAUGUAGUAAGCAAAGAAGGACAAGAGUGUGGCUCCAAUCAAAGUUCCCACAGCGGGCAAAGCGACAGCAGCAUCGCUGGUCGGCGACGGAGCCGGGGCGUCACUUGGGCUCAUUUGAGCCAUGGCAGCGCUCAUGGAGGCUGCGGCAACUAGGGCGGCACAAGUGAUCUUCUUCAUCUCCGUAUCUAUCAGACGAGUUGAAAUAUAGGCAGGCGAAAAUUAACGUCUCAAAGGAAAGUUGAGAUGUAAUAGCCGAAUUUUCCUUUCCUGCCUU
rnacentral:lncRNA from 1 species